rnacentral:rRNA from 1 species
GACGAACGCUGGCGGCGUGCCUAAUACAUGCAAGUCGAACGAAGGCUCGAGGAGUUUGGGCGUCUGAUGUCGGCAGGGGUCGGGAGCGUACUUUGUGGUUGACAUAACUCUAAGAAAGGGGUAACAUUGCCUAAAAGUGGCGAAUACCGGAGAAUAUUUCACCCAAAAAUGUGCAAACGUGAAAGAAGCUAUUUGGUGCGGUAAAAGAUGGAUCCGCCCUGCAUUCUGUAGUGGGCAAGGUAACGGCUUAGCAAGGCAAGGAUGCAUAGCCGACCCGAGAGGGUGAUCCGCCACACUGGCACUGAGACACAGCCCAGACACCUACGGGAGGCAGCAGUAGGGAAUCUUCCGCAAUGGACGAAAGGCUGACGUAGCAACGCCGCGUGAGUGAUGAAGGUCUUAGGACCGUAAAACUCUGUUGUUCGGGAAGAACUUAUGUGCUAGUAACCGUGCAGAUCAUGACGGUACCUAAACAGAAAGCCACGGCUAACUACGUG